GUGGUCAUCCUCCCUCACGUCGGCUACCUCCAUUGCUCAUCUCCUCGAAUGCGGGCGACAGAAUUAACGCAACGCAACUGCUCAGCUCCACUCCCUCACGCUCCCUCCCCACGACCUCCACUUCGCCCCAUUCAUCGCACAACCGAGGAUGAUAAAUGGUGACCAUGCGACCUCCACUUCGCCCCGUUCACUUCGCUCCCUACCUCUGUGUUCGAGUUCGCGUGGACGCCGGAGCCACCCGAAGAGAGAGGAGGAAGCAGCGCGCGGACGCCAGAUCCGAAGGACGGCUCGCCGCUAGGACGUUCCUUUUCUGCCUCUAUGUUAGAGCGCACGCGGACACCGGAGCCGGAAGACGCAUCGCCGCCAGGACGCGCGGGAUAGCGAGGUCCACGAGGUUCCACUACACGCCGCUAGGUCCGGUGAAGAGCAGGUAUCCCUGGAGGAGGACUACUACGACGAGCCCGAUGAGAUAUAGACGUCGUCUUCCAGUUAACUGUUGGUGCCAAGGAUAUGGUUAUAUUAUUUCGGUUUAGUUAUUAUCAGCUAUUAUUUUGGUUUA